UNGCUACACAGGUGAUUAGUGGGAGGAGU
rnacentral:piRNA from 1 species